CGCUGUCACUCCUACGGGAGGCAGCAGUGGGGAAUAUUGCACAAUGGGGGAAACCCUGAUGCAGCCAUGCCGCGUGUGUGAAGAAGGCCUUCGGGUUGUAAAGCACUUUCAGUAGGGAGGAAGGUAGUGUAGUUAACACCUGCACUAUUUUGACGUUACCUACAGAAGAAGCACCGGCUAACUCCGUGCCAGCAGCCGCGGUAAUACGGAGGGUGCGAGCGUUAAUCGGAAUUACUGGGCGUAAAGCGCAUGCAGGCGGCCUGUUAAGUCAGAUGUGAAAGCCCGGGGCUUAACCUCGGAAUUGCAUUUGAAACUGGCAGGCUAGAGUCUUGUAGAGGGGGUAGAAUUUCAGGUGUAGCGGUGAAAUGCGUAGAGAUCUGAAGGAAUACCAGUGGCGAAGGCGGCCCCCUGGACAAAGACUGACGCUCAGAUGCGAAAGCGUGGGGAGCAAACAGGAUUAGAUACCCUGGUAG
rnacentral:rRNA from 1 species